CUCAGGUCAGAGAACACGAGGCUUGCCACCAUCUUUGAAGUGGCCUGCUGCCAUUUUGGAAGCGCCUGUCACCAUCUUAGGAGCUCUGGAAGCAAGGACCCCGUUGGUUGAAUCCAAAGAUGGGGAGCCUGUGGAUACUGAAGGCCAACUGUACUACAGGGUUAGAAGCAUAAGUCAGUGGAAGACAGAAGAGGCCAAUCUGCUUCUCCAUCAAUCCAUUAGUCAAUGACAAAACUGCAACAAUACUGAGCUGAGAAAAG